rnacentral:rRNA from 1 species
GACGAACGCUGGCGGCGUGCUUAACUCAUGCAAGUCGAACGGAAAGGCCCUGCUUUUGUGGGGUGCUCGAGUGGCGAACGGGUGAGUAACACGUGAGUAACCUGCCCUUGACUUUGGGAUAACUUCAGGAAACUGGGGCUAAUACCGGAUAGGAGCUCCUGCUGCAUGGUGGGGGUUGGAAAGUUUCGGCGGUUGGGGAUGGACUCGCGGCUUAUCAGCUUGUUGGUGGGGUAGUGGCUUACAAAGGCUUUGACGGGUAGCCGGCCUGAGAGGGUGACCGGCCACAUUGGGACUGAGAUACGGCCCAGACUCCUACGGGAGGCAGCAGUGGGGAAUAUUGCACAAUGGGCGGAAGCCUGAUGCAGCAACGCCGCGUGCGGGAUGACGGCCUUCGGGUUGUAAACCGCUUUCGCCUGUGACGAAGCGUGAGUGACGGUAAUGGGUAAAGAAGCACCGGCUAACUACGUG